rnacentral:rRNA from 1 species
AUUGAACGCUGGCGGCAUGCCUUACACAUGCAAGUCGAACGGUAGAGUAGCAAUACUCGAGAGUGGCGAACGGGUGAGUAAUAUAUCGGAACGUGCCCAGUCGUGGGGGAUAACGUAGAGAAAUUUACGCUAAUACCGCAUACGAUCUACGGAUGAAAGCGGGGGAUCGCAGACCUCGCGCGAUUGGAGCGGCUGAUAUC